ACUACGAGUUUGAUCAUGGCUCAGAUUGAACGCUGGCGGCAUGCUUUACACAUGCAAGUCGAACGGUAACAGGCCUUCGGGUGCUGACGAGUGGCGAACGGGUGAGUAAUGCAUCGGAACGUGCCCAAUCGUGGGGGAUAACGUAGCGAAAGUUACGCUAAUACCGCAUAAGCCCUGAGGGGGAAAGUGGGGGACCGCAAGGCCUCACGCGAAUGGAGCGGCCGAUGUCAGAUUAGCUAGUUGGUGGGGUAAAGGCUCACCAAGGCGACGAUCUGUAGCGGGUCUGAGAGGAUGAUCCGCCACACUGGGACUGAGACACGGCCCAGACUCCUACGGGAGGCAGCAGUGGGGAAUUUUGGACAAUGGGCGCAAGCCUGAUCCAGCCAUGCCGCGUGCGGGACGAAGGCCUUCGGGUUGUAAACCGCUUUCAGCCGGAAAGAAAUCGCUGUUUUUAAUACGGACAGUGGAUGACGGUACCGGAAGAAGAAGCACCGGCUAACUACGUG
rnacentral:rRNA from 1 species